AAAGAGAAGACCAUGGCUCCCAAAUCAUCCUUUCUCUCUCAUCAGCCCACUAAAGAUAAGGAUGAGAGUGAAGAAUCAUCCUCAGAGGAAGAAGAAGAAGGUGGGAGAGAAGAAUCAGGGCCCCAAUCUUCCGAGACAGAUUCGUCCGACGACGAAACGGAGGCCGUGUCCUCCUUCGAAAAAGCCAAAAAUCGACCAACCCUAGAAAAUCUCAAUUCCCCAAUCCCCGCCCCCAAAUUCGAUCCAAGAUCGGCCUCCCGACAUAGCGACACUGAUUCGGACGGCUCCCCUUCUAGUUACGUGAUGCAGCCGAUCACCAAGGGCUCCGUCUCCUCAUCGAAGCGCAAUCGUGGCGAGAUUGAGGGGGAUUCGUUGAGGAGCUGUAAGAGCUUGCGAACUGAGGAGAAGAAAUCGGUUUCCACUCCGGCCGGAGGGGGUGGGGUGGGGUGUAUCAACAGGCUGUGGAGUAAUGAGGAUGAGAUCGCUGUGCUGAAUGGGAUGAUCGAAUUCAAAAUUGCCAAGGGGUCCAGCCCUAGCGCCGAUAUGGGGGCGUUUUACAGCUUUAUAAAGGGGAAAUUGAAGGUGGAUUUCUCGAGGGAUCAGCUGAGGUCUAAGAUUACAAGGAUGAAAAAGAGGUUUUUGAAUGCUUUGAAGAAGGGAGAGAAGGGUUCUGACCCUGUCUUCUCGAAGCCUCACGAGGAUAUGGCGUUCGUCCUCUCAAAGAAAAUUUGGGGGAAAAGUGUGGAUGUGAAGAAGAAGCUGGAUGAGGAUGUGGUGGAUGAGAGAGAGGUUGUGGAGCGAGAAGGGGAUGGCGAAGGAGUGGAUUUCUGGUCCAAGUAUCCGAACAUUAAUGCGUCUUUUGAUAAUAUGAAGGCGAGCUUCCCCUCUCUCGUUGCUCCGGUGGCUGGGAUGAGUUUGUUGAAGGAGAGGUUGAGUUUGAUUGGGAAUGUGAAGGCCAAGGAGUUGGAUGAUAAGUGGAAGCAGUUGCUUGGGGAGAAGACUGAGCUGGAUUACAAGAUUUUGAUAUUGAUGAAGGAACAGGUUCAAAUGGCUUUGGAUCAGUAAUAGGGUUGGGAAUUGCUACGUUGGUAACAUUUUUUGGCUUGAAUUUAUACCUUUUUAGAGUCAAUUGUGAUUCUCCAUUUUGAUUUGCAAAAUGGAUUUUUUGAUAAAUGUUUAAAAUCUUGCUUAUGAUAAUGGUUGCUCUGUGAUGAAUUUAGUUCUCGAAGUACUUAUUCAUUAAGCUAUGUUUCUUGUUAACAUUUGAGUUGUGUUGUGUUCCAGAUAUAGAAGGACGUUUUUGAUGACAAAAAUUGAGUGUGAAAACAAAAAAUGAUAGAUGAUGAAUCAUGACUAGAUUUUGAUGCUGCAUCUUAGUAUUGAUGUUGGGCCACAAUUGCCUAGAAGAGACAUUCUUAGUUUACAUUUGGUGGGAGUUUACUGUUUUGAACAUUUAUAUGACCUCUGCCUCAUGCAAAGCUCUCUGCUCUGACUGCUCCUCCCUUAUGCUUGACUAAGCCCACUGCUCGGAUUUGUUUUUUCUCUAGUCUUUGGAUGGGGUUGUUGCAGGGCUGAAUCUGUAGAACUCGACAGCCUUACAUUGUACGUAUGUCUGAGGAUGUUAGGUCGUUUUGAGUGAUGUCUCUUUUGUAGAAUGCUUCAAUACUUCCCAAGUCUUAGAGUUCUGCAGUUAAGGCUUAUACUAUAGUUCAUGAGAAGGUUUUCUAUGAUUGUAAUUUUGUUAUUUAUAUUAUAGAAAUAAGGUUUGCUUGUGCCUUGUGGAAGGUGA